CUUUAGAGCCAAAAUACCCUAAAAGAAUCCAAUCCUGCCUGAACUUGGAAGCUAAGUAGAAUCAGUACUGGUUAGUACUUGGAUGGGACACCGCCAAUGAAUAUCUGGUGCUGUAGGCU
rnacentral:rRNA from 1 species